GAUGAACGCUGGCGGCGUGCUUAACACAUGCAAGUCGAACGAAGCAUUUAAGACAGAUUACUUCGGUUUGAAGUCUUUUAUGACUGAGUGGCGGACGGGUGAGUAACGCGUGGGUAACCUGCCUCAUACAGGGGGAUAGCAGCUGGAAACGGCUGGUAAUACCGCAUAAGCGCACAGUACCACAUGGUACAGUGUGAAAAACUCCGGUGGUAUGAGAUGGACCCGCGUCUGAUUAGCUUGUUGGCGGGGUAACGGCCCACCAAGGCGACGAUCAGUAGCCGACCUGAGAGGGUGACCGGCCACAUUGGGACUGAGACACGGCCCAGACUCCUACGGGAGGCAGCAGUGGGGAAUAUUGCACAAUGGAGGAAACUCUGAUGCAGCGACGCCGCGUGAGUGAAAAAGUAGUUCGCUAUGUAAAGCUCUAUCAGCAGGGAAGAUAGUGACGGUACCUGACUAAGAAGCUCCGGCUAAAUACGUG
rnacentral:rRNA from 1 species